rfam:Perkinsus marinus ATCC 50983 gcontig_1104296756128, whole genome shotgun sequence.
GUCAGUUUGGCCGAGUGGUCUAAGGCGCCAGACUCAAGUUCUGGUGUAGAGAUCCGCGUGGGUUUGAACCCCACAGCUGACA